rnacentral:rRNA from 1 species
GUGUCAGCAGCCGCGGUAAUACGGAGGGUGCAAGCGUUGUCCGGAAUCACUGGGUGUAAAGGGUGUGUAGGCGGGGCUGUAAGUCAGAGGUGAAAUCCCACGGCUCAACCGUGGAACUGCCUUUGAUACUGCAGCUCUUGAGUCCCGGAGAGGUGGCUGGAAUUCGUGGUGUAGCGGUGAAAUGCGUAGAUAUCACGAGGAACACCAGAGGUGUAGACGGGUCACUGGACGGGUACUGACGCUGAGGCACGAAAGCGUGGGGAGCAAACAGGAUUAGAUACCCUGGUAGUCCACGCCGUAAACGAUGGAUGCUCGGUGUUGCCCCGCCUUUAGGGGCAGUGCCUAAGCUAACGCGUUAAGCAUCCCACCUGGGGAGUACGCUCGCAAGAGUGAAACUCAAAUGAAUUGACGGGG